UACGUAGGGGGCUAGCGUUGUCCGGAAUCAUUGGGCGUAAAGCGCGCGUAGGCGGCCAGAUAAGUCCGGUGUGAAAGCCACAGGCUCAACCUGUGAAUGCCGCUGGAAACUGUCUGGCUAGAGUCCGGGAGGGGCGAGUGGAAUUCCUGGUGUAGCGGUGAAAUGCGCAGAUAUCAGGAAGAACACCCGUGGCGAAGGCGGCUCUCUGGGACGGUACUGACGCUGAGACGCGAAAGCGUGGGGAGCGAACAGG
rnacentral:rRNA from 1 species